UCGAGAAUCUUCCGCAAUGGGCGAAAGCCUGACGGAGCGACGCCGCGUGUAGGAUGAAGGCCCUCGGGUUGUAAACUACUGUCACGGGUUAUGAAUGUGCAUAUGUUAACAGCGUGUGUAUUGACGUAAGCCCGAAAGGAAGCACCGGCUAACUCUGUGCCAGCAGCCGCGGUAAUACAGAGGGUGCAAGCGUUGUUCGGAAUUACUGGGCGUAAAGGGCGCGUAGGCGGCCCUCUAAGUCAGACGUGAAAUCCCCCGGCUUAACCUGGGAACUGCGUCUGAUACUGGAGGGCUUGAGUAUGGGAGAGGGAUGUAGAAUUCCAGGUGUAGCGGUGAAAUGCGUAGAUAUCUGGAGGAAUACCGGUGGCGAAGGCGGCAUCCUGGACCAUUACUGACGCUGAGGCGCGAAAGCUAGGGGAGCAAACGGGAUUAGAUACCCCCGUAGUCCCUGAGCGGGCUGGCAAGGCGCAU
rnacentral:rRNA from 1 species